CAUUUUUUGAAUUAUGAUGGUUUAUUGAUUCAACAAGCGUAUGAGAGAAUGCAUGUUGGUUAUAAUAAAAACGCAGAUCUGAAAUCGUUCCUCAGCCUAGCCUUGGUUUUUGAAGAUAACAGUUGGCUUAAUGUAAAAGACUUUAACUUAAGAGGUGUUCUAAUUUUAAUGAAAAAGUUAGGCAGUCGCGGUAUCAAAAGAGUGGUGAAUACAAACGAGUAGCUUUCGUUGGAAGAAUUGCAAGCGCGACCUCUAGUCAAAUGGAUUAAAAGUGAAGGAGUUCCAGAAGAGGAGCAGGUUGAAGCUUACAAAGAAAACUUUUCCGAACCACACAUAUUGUGUAUUGGAGAAAAAUUUACUCUCGGAAACCUAUAUUUAAUUUUUGGGGCCAAUACCAUACCCUGUGGAAGUUCGUCAUUGCAGGCUAUUGAUGUAUUUUUUAAGGCAUUGGCUGUUUUAGGAAUAGCUGUUCCAGUACAGUUAAAAAAGAUACAUGAUUUAUUAUCAAUUCAGUUAUGGAAGACUUUAUCCUCAACGAACAGUUUAACUAUUCAGCGUCUCAUUACAAAAAUAGAAAACUAUGAACGAAGUAUUAGUUCUCAAAAUUAAUUUUUUUUUUUUGAUAAAGUGACAAUUUGAUGUAUUCAACAUAAAUAAAUUUGAUUA